rnacentral:rRNA from 1 species
GACGGAGGGUGCAAGCGUUGUUCGGAUUGACUGGGCGUAAAGGGCGCGUAGGCGGCUGGGGAAGUCGGCGGUGAAAGCCCGGAGCUCAACUCCGGGUCGGCCGUCGAGACUCCUCGGCUCGAGCUCACUAGAGGCAGAUGGAAUUCCGGUGUAGCGGUGGAAUGCGUAGAGAUCCGGAAGAACACCGGUGGCGAAGGCGGUCUGCUGGUGAGGCUGACGCUGAGGCGCGACAGCGUGGAGCAACAGG